UACGUAGGGGGCAAGCGUUGUCCGGAUUUAUUGGGCGUAAAGAGCGUGUAGGCGGCCAGAUAGGUCCGUUGUGAAAACUCGAGGCUCAACCUCGAGACGUCGGUUGAAACCGUACGGCUAGAGUCCGGAAGAGGAGAGUGGAAUUCCCGGUGUAGCGGUGAAAUGCGCAGAUAUCGGGAAGAACACCCGUGGCGAAGGCGGCUCUCUGGGACGGUACUGACGCUGAGACGCGAAAGCGUGGGGAGCGAACAGG
rnacentral:rRNA from 1 species